GAUGAACGCUGGCGGCGUGCUUAACACAUGCAAGUCGGACGAAGCACUUUAUUUGAUUUCCUUCGGGACUGAUUAUUUUGUGACUGAGUGGCGGACGGGUGAGUAACGCGUGGGUAACCUGCCUUGUACAGGGGGAUAACAGUUGGAAACGGCUGCUAAUACCGCAUAAGCGCACGGCAUCGCAUGAUGCAGUGUGAAAAACUCCGGUGGUAUAAGAUGGACCCGCGUUGGAUUAGCUAGUUGGUGAGGUAACGGCCCACCAAGGCGACGAUCCAUAGCCGACCUGAGAGGGUGACCGGCCACAGUGGGACUGAGACACGGCCCAAACUCCUGCGGGAGGCAGCAGUGGGGAAUAUUGCACAAUGGGCGAAAGCCUGAUGCAGCGACGCCGCGUGAGCGAAGAAGUAUUUCGGUAUGUAAAGCUCUAUCAGCAGGGAAGAUAAUGACGGUACCUGACUAAGAAGCACCGGCUAAAUACGUG
rnacentral:rRNA from 1 species